rnacentral:lncRNA from 1 species
UGGUCGGGGGCCUGGCGGGAGCCGGGGCCCUGCUUCUGCUGCUGCUGCUGGUGGCGCUGAGCGUGUUCGUCGUGCGCUCCCGGAGGAGGGAUAGGCAAGGCCGAGGCAGGUGAGUGAGCUGCGGAUGGAUGGGUAAGGAGAAAGGCGUCCUGGACCAGGUUACCCUACCCUGACGACGUGGCGCCCUUCUGGCAGGUCCAGGGACGACAGGAAGUGGUUCGAGACCUGGGAUGAGAACACUGCGGGGACUUUUUCUAACUCAGGCUUCGAAGAUGACAUUAACGAAGAAAACUUCCCUGUGGCCUUGGACACCGUGGACACCGAUGCCAGGGUGCAUAUUCACAGACCUGAGGUGGUCUCGUCCUCACUGUGAGCCCACACUACCCUCUCUACCUGCCCGGACAGCGGAGAGAACCAUCUGCACUGCCUUUGGAGAGAUGGCCGCGGGCUCGUGCGGCUCAGUCUCCUGGUUUCCUGGGGCAUAACAGACCUCCGCCUACCCUCAUCCUUCCCCCAACUUGGGUGAAACCCACCUGGAGACCCAGUUCAAAUCCACGCUCUUCCACUGUGGGACCUUGGGCAAGUCAGUAACUUCUCCGAACUUCGGUUUUGUCACCUGCAAAAUGCAAGUGGCCACUCCUCUGGUACUUCCUGUUGGUUAUAGUGAAACCAGAUGUCU